rnacentral:rRNA from 1 species
AUUGAACGCUGGCGGCAGGCCUAACACAUGCAAGUCGAGCGGAUGAAGGGAGCUUGCUCCUGGAUUCAGCGGCGGACGGGUGAGUAAUGCCUAGGAAUCUGCCUGGUAGUGGGGGAUAACGUCCGGAAACGGGCGCUAAUACCGCAUACGUCCUGAGGGAGAAAGUGGGGGAUCUUCGGACCUCACGCUAUCAGAUGAGCCUAGGUCGGAUUAGCUAGUUGGUGGGGUAAAGGCCUACCAAGGCGACGAUCCGUAACUGGUCUGAGAGGAUGAUCAGUCACACUGGAACUGAGACACGGUCCAGACUCCUACGGGAGGCAGCAGUAGGGAAUAUUGGACAAUGGGCGAAAGCCUGAUCCAGCCAUGCCGCGUGAGUGAAGAAGGUCUUCGGAUUGUAAAGCACUUUAAGUUGGGAGGAAGGGAAGUAAGUGAAUACCUUGAUGUUUUGACGGUACCAACAGAAUAAGCACCGGCUAACUUCGUG